UGUGGAUAUCUUACAUGAACAUAUAUGGUGAAUAUAUUCAAUUAACUUAUUUGCACACAGGCAGUGAUGGGUGGGGUUUACAAAAAAGGCUACCUUCAACUUCAGAAUACAUCACUACCAACGUACUCUAAGGUCGUUGGAAUAACGGUUAAAAUGUUUGCAGCUUUUUCACUACAUAAGCAUAACUAACAGCUACUACUAGUCCAAAUGUAAAACGUUUGCUCUGGUUAAGUGGAUUGGCGGGGAGUAUGAGGGCAAAACCAGCAUUUUGCCGACUGACUGAAUUAGUAAACCUAACGUUAAUGAGGAAGACUUUUUCAAUGGCUCUGUAACGUUAUGGGACAACAUCUUGCUUGAAAUUAUGUGGUGGAGGGGAAGAAGGCAGCCAAGAGGUAGUUGGCCGGUUUUCGAGGCCAUGGUGGUCAAAAUUGCUGAGAGGCAACACUCGAAAGCUACAUCAAGGACACCGGAGGAUGGACCAGAAGACCUGAGACCAAGACGACCCAAGCCCAACCCAUAGUAUGCUUCACUGACAAAUGUUGAUGCUUCAUCAUCACAUAGACCAAAGGUUUCAGAGAAGGCUGGUAGAGCUCUCUAUGAGUGUGAGCUGUGGGAGAUGACCAAGAACUGACAACCACCUACAGAAGAGGUGGCGAUAAUGGCUUUCCAAGAGGAGGUUGUGAGUCUGAAGGCUUUUAUUCAACAAGGAGGCACUUAGAGGGAAUGCCUGGACCCUGAGAGGACUAAGACGAUCAUUGAGGCCACCCUGAAGCAGUUCCCAGGCCAGACACUCACUCCAGAUUGCUGGGCCAGGCAAUAAAUGCCAAAGUGACAGAACUGAGGUUCCAUAACAAAA